UACGGAGGAUCCAAGCGUUAUCCGGAUUUACUGGGUUUAAAGGGUGCGUAGGUGGAAUGACAAGUCAGUGGUGAAAACCUAUAGCUUAACUAUAGAACUGCCAUUGAUACUGUUAUUCUUGAGUGUAUUUGAUGUAAGUGGAAUGUGUCAUGUAGCGGUGAAAUGCUUAGAUAUGACACAGAACACCCAUUGCGAAGGCAGCUUACAAAACUACAACUGACACUGAGGCACGAAAGCGUGGGGAUCAAACAGG
rnacentral:rRNA from 1 species